UACGGGGGGGACAAGCGUUGUUCGGAAUUACUGGGCGUAAAGGGCUCGUAGGCGGCCAACUAAGUCCGACGUGAAAUCCCCAGGCUUAACCUGGGAACUGCGUCGGAUACUGGUUGGCUUGAAUCCGGGAGAGGGAUGCGGAAUUCCAGGUGUAGCGGUGAAAUGCGUAGAUAUCUGGAGGAAUACCGGUGGCGAAGGCGGCAUCCUGGACCGGCAUUGACGCUGAUGAGCGAAAGCUAGGGGAGCAAACGGG
rnacentral:rRNA from 1 species